UGGCUCAGGAUGAACGCUAGCUACAGGCUUAACACAUGCAAGUCGAGGGGCAGCGAGAGAAAGCUUGCUUCUUGUCGGCGACCGGCGCACGGGUGAGUAACGCGUAUCCAACCUGCCCAUUACUCUGGGAUAGCCCUCUGAAAAGGGGAUUAAUACCGGAUGGUUUCCUUUGCGGACAUCUAACGAGGAAUAAAGAUUUAUCGGUAAUGGAUGGGGAUGCGUCUGAUUAGGUUGUUGGCGGGUAACGGCCCACCAAGCCCACGAUCAGUAGGGGUUCUGAGAGGAAGGUCCCCCACAUUGGAACUGAGACACGGUCCAAACUCCUACGGGAGGCAGCAGUGAGGAAUAUUGGUCAAUGGUCGGAAGACUGAACCAGCCAAAGUAGCGUGCAGGAUGACGGCCCUAUGGGUUGUAAACUGCUUUUAUAGGGGAACAAAGUGAGGUACGUGUACUUUUUUGCGUGUACCCUAUGAAUAAGGACCGGCUAAUUCCGUGCCAGCCGCCGC
rnacentral:rRNA from 1 species